rnacentral:lncRNA from 1 species
CGCGUGCUCGCCGUGCGUGCGCGCCCCCGCUGCCCCAGGUGAGAGAGAGUUGUGUGUGUGUGUGUGAGUGUAUGAGAGUGUGUGUGAGUGUGUAUGUAUGUGUGCGUAUGUGUGCGCGCGCGCGUGCGUGCGUGCGUGUGUGUGUGAUUGAGUGAGUGUGAGUUGUCGCGCGACUGCAGGAUGAUGAAGGUGACGCUCGUGGCUGCUUGUUUGCUGCUGCUGUGGAUCAGCGCGUGCGGAGCUAAACGAGUGUAUUUUGAAUGUGGAGCCAAGGUGGACGUGGUGGAUAUGCAGGGCCUUGUUCUGUCCCCUGGUUUCCCCUAUAACUACUCCUCUAACACCCACUGCGUCUGGCAGUUCUUCGUUCCCGCUGGUCACCAACUUACCAUGGAGAUGUUUGAUUUUGACGUUUUUGAGAGUCAGAACAGUCCUGGAAGAAACCCCACCUCGUCUACAUUACUUCUGGAAGAGGAGGAGGAGGAAGGUGAAGAACAUUUUGGCCCAUCGAUGGGCGAAUUGCUUUCCAAAGCUAGCUUAGCCGCAACUCGCAUUGUGGCAAAGGAACCGCAGCGGUCCGUGCAGAAUCGAGAGGUCAAACAGGUAGUCGUCCAAGAGGAGUCCAAUAAGAUGGAGAUGGCUAAAGUGUCCAACUCGGCCAAACGUUCCUAUGAGUCCCCUUUGCCCAUGCCUCCAGAUCCUCCACCGCCUUCUCAACUGUUGUCUGGACCUCAACCACCUGGAGACAAGGCCCAGAACUCUGUGUCUCCUCAGGCUUCCAGAUCCGCCAUUGAAGCCAAAGGCAGAAUGACCAAUGUUCUUCCUGCUACUCCUACAGCCACCGGCAGUGAAGAAGACACAAGUCCUGAAACCCAACAGCCAGUGAUGGACUCUUGCCCUCACGAUGUCCUCUACAUUUCGGACCUGACCACCUUCUCCUCGCGCUUCUACGGCUCCAACCGUCCGUCCAGCAGUCAGCUGGUUUUUGGUUCGGACUCCGAGAUGGUGGAGGUGAUCAUGGAGCUGAUCACAACCACCCACUGGGGCCGGGGGUUCGUCCUGCUCUUCCGCUACCACAACCCCACCCAGCUGGCUACAACCGGAGGACAGAGGUCACUGGUGUCCUCCAGCGGCACGGUGGACGUGAUGCUGGCUGUCGUUAGUGGAGCUGCUUUCUUCGCCGUGGUCCUCGCCAGCGUUCUCUGCAUGAUUUUGAGACCCAAACUGUGUGCUAAAGGAUCCAACUCCACGCCCUCUAUCAACUCUGAGGUUCCAGAGGGGGCGCCAAACUCGGGAGCUGAUGGCAGUGAACUGCAGCUUGUGACUCCAAACCAUACCGAGCAACAGCUGGUCCCUGAAAACGACCCCAGCGUCACUCUACAUCACACAGGUAUGGUGUUUAUUAGGUGAUUAUAAGGUAUUAGGCCUGUUCAAAAACUUUAAAAGUUUAACAGCA